rnacentral:rRNA from 1 species
GUACGGCGAGUGAGCGGUAACAGCUCAAAUUUGAAAUCUGGCCUCACGGUCCGAGUUGUAAUUUGUAGAGGAUGCUUCGAGCAUGGUCUGGCCUAAGUUCCUUGGAACAGGACGUCAUAGAGGGUGAGAAUCCCGUAUGCGGCCAGGUGCCUACGCUCAUGUGAAGCUCCUUCGACGAGUCGAGUUGUUUGGGAAUGCAGCUCAAAAUGGGUGGUAAAUUUCAUCUAAAGCUAAAUAUUGGCCAGAGACCGAUAGCGCACAAGUAGAGUGAUCGAAAGAUGAAAAGCACUUUGGAAAGAGAGUUAAACAGUACGUGAAAUUGUUGAAAGGGAAGCGCUUGCAACCAGACUUGCGCGCGGCCGAUCAUCCGGUGUUCUCACUGGUGCACUCGGCCGUGCUCAGGCCAGCAUCGGUUUUGGCGGCUGGAUAAAGGCCCUAGGAAUGUAGCUCCUCUCGGGGAGUGUUAUAGCCUAGGGUGCAAUGCAGCCUGCUGGGACCGAGGACCGCGCUUCGGCUAGGAUGCUGGCGUAAUGGUUGUAAGCGGCCCGUCUUGAAACCACGGACCA